rnacentral:rRNA from 1 species
GCUGGCGGCACGCCUAACACAUGCAAGUCGAACGAAGUAGCAAUACUUAGUGGCAGACGGGUGAGUAACAUGUAGGUAUCUGCCCUUUGGCCUGGAAUAACACGAGGAAACUUGUGCUAAUACCGGAUAAGUCUUUACGGAGAAAGCUUUAUGCACCAUUGGAUGAGCCUGCACUUGAUUAGUUUGUUGGUGGGGUAAUGGCCUACCAAGACUGUGAUCAAUAGCUGAUUUGAGAGGAUGAUCAGCCACAUUGGGACUGAGACACGGCCCAAACUCCUACGGGAGGCAGCAGUGGGGAAUCUUGCACAAUGGAGGAAACUCUGAUGCAGCGAUGCCGCGUGAGUGAAGAAGGCCUUUGGGUUGUAAAGCUCUUUCGUCGGGGAAGAAAAUGACUGUACCCGAAUAAGAAGGUCCGGCUAACUUCGUGCCAGCAGCCGCGGUAAUACGAAGGGACCUAGCGUAGUUCGGAAUUACUGGGCUUAAAGAGUUCGUAGGUGGUUGAAAAAGUUAGUGGUGAAAUCCCAGAGCUUAACUCUGGAACUGCCAUUAAAACUUUUCAGCUAGAGUAUGAUAGAGGAAAGCAGAAUUUCUAGUGUAGAGGUGAAAUUCGUAGAUAUUAGAAAGAAUACCAAUUGCGAAGGCAGCUUUCUGGAUCAUUACUGACACUGAGGAACGAAAGCAUGGGUAGCGAAGAGGAUUAGAUACCCUCGUAGUCCAUGCCGUAAACGAUGUGUGUUAGACGUUGGAAAUUUAUUUUCAGUGUCGCAGGGAAACCGAUAAACACACCGCCUGGGGAGUACGACCG